AUUGAACGCUGGCGGCAUGCCUUACACAUGCAAGUCGAACGGUAACAGGUCUUCGGAUGCUGACGAGUGGCGAACGGGUGAGUAAUACAUCGGAACGUGCCCAGACGUGGGGGAUAACGAGGCGAAAGCUUUGCUAAUACCGCAUACGAUCUAAGGAUGAAAGCAGGGGACCGCAAGGCCUUGCGCGUUUGGAGCGGACGAUGGCAGAUUAGGUAGUUGGUGGGAUAAAAGCUUACCAAGCCGACGAUCUGUAGCUGGUCUGAGAGGACGACCAGCCACACUGGGACUGAGACACGGCCCAGACUCCUACGGGAGGCAGCAGUGGGGAAUUUUGGACAAUGGGCGAAAGCCUGAUCCAGCAAUGCCGCGUGCAGGAUGAAGGCCUUCGGGUUGUAAACUGCUUUUGUACGGAACGAAAAGGCUCUGGCUAAUACCUGGGGCACAUGACGGUACCGUAAGAAUAAGCACCGGCUAACUACGUG
rnacentral:rRNA from 1 species